rnacentral:rRNA from 1 species
CCUACGGGUGGCAGCAGUGGGGAAUAUUGCACAAUGGGGGAAACCCUGAUGCAGCGACGCCGCGUGAGUGAAGAAGUAUCUCGGUACGUAAAGCUCUAUCAGCAGGGAAGAUAAUGACGGUACCUGACCACGAAGCCCCGGCUAACUACGUGCCAGCAGCCGCGGUAAUACGUAGGGGGCCAGCGUUAUCCGGAUUUCCUGGGAGUAAAGGGAGCGUAGACGGCAGCACAAGUCUGGAGUGAAAUCCCGGGGCUUAACCCCGGAACUGCUUUGGAAACUGUGCGGCUGGAGGGCAGGAGGGGUAAGCGGAAUUCCUAGUGUAGCGGUGAAAUGCGGAGAUAUUAGGAGGAACACCGGUGGCGAAGGCGGCUUACUGGACUGUAACUGACGUUGAGGCUCGAAAGCGUGGGGAGCAAACAGGAUUAGAUACCCUGGUAGUC